CGGGACGUAGCGCAGCUUGGUAGCGCACCUGAAUGGGGUUCAGGGGGUCGCGGGUUCAAAUCCCGCCGUCCCGA
rnacentral:tRNA from 1 species